AGAGGGGUCAAUGUCCUAUCAGCUAGUUGGUAGGGUAAUGGCCUACCAAGGCUAAGACGGGUAGCCGGCCUGAGAGGGUGGUCGGCCACACUGGGACUGAGACACUGCCCAGACUCCUACGGGAGGCUGCAGUCGAGAAUCUUUCGCAAUGCCCGAAAGGGUGACGAAGCGACGCCGCGUGUGGGAAGAAGGCCCUCGGGUUGUAAACCACUGUCGGGAGUUAAGAAAUGUAAGGGUGUUAAUAGCAUCCUUACUUGACUAAGGCUCCGGAGGAAGCCACGGCUAACUCUGUGCCAGCAGCCGCGGUAAUACAGAGGCGGCAAGCGUUGUUCGGAAUUAUUGGGCGUAAAGAGCACGUAGGCGGCUUUGUAAGUCAGUUGUGAAAGCCUUCCGCUUAACGGAAGAACAGCAUCUGAUACUGCAAGGCUAGAGUGCGGAAGGG
rnacentral:rRNA from 1 species